UCACAGAAGAUCGCCAUAACAUGACGUCUGCAGGGAUGGGCGUGACCAGAGAUUCAUUGCCAAUCAAGGGUCCAACUUCGACAGUGGGAGCCAGCAGUGGGUCGCAUGCACAAGCGGGCGUGGCGGAAGUCUUGUCCCGGUGGAGGGUCCAGAUCCGACAGCAACCCCCACCCUCCCGUCAUCCCCCCGUCCCCAAUUUUGUGACCUUG